rnacentral:rRNA from 1 species
GACGAACGCUGGCGGCGUGCCUAAUACAUGCAAGUCGAACGCGAGCAGCAAUGCUCGAGUGGCGAACGGGUGAGUAAUACAUAAGUAACCUGCCCUAGACAGGGGGAUAACAGCCGGAAACGGCCGCUAAUACCGCAUAAUGCAUUGGAUUCGCAUGUUUCUGAUGCCAAAGAUUUUAUCGCUGAAAGAUGAGCUCGCGUCUGAUUAGCUAGUUGGCGGGGUAACGGCCCACCAAGGCGACGAUCAGUAGCCGGACUGAGAGGUUGAACGGCCAUAUUGGGACUGAGACACGGCCCAG